AUGGCAGCCCCAGGGACGGGGACGCGGGGUCUCCCGGGAGAAACCGGGGCUCCCAUCCCAUGGGCUCGCAUCCGCCCCCGACAAAGGUCAUUAAGUUGUAAGUACUCUUCCACGCACCUGUUUCUUUCAUCUCCCCCCUCUUUCUCUCUCUUCCUCCCAGGCUGCCACCCUGGACGCUGGCUGUGCGCUCUCAGUGUCCGCAGAGCCCGGGGAGGCUGCAGCUGCCACCUCCCGCCUCCCUGCAGCUGGCGACGCCGCGCGCCGGGGCCGCGCCGUGGCGAGCCCGCCCGCGCCCGAGCGGCGGGCCGGCCCCACUUCCUCCCGGCGCUGGACAGCCCGCGGGGCGCAGACAAUGCGGGGCGGCGGGCAGCGCCGGACGGGCCGGGAAACUCACCUCUCGCAUGUUCAGAGGCGGCCCGACUGCCGGCCGAGCGCCCGCGGCGUGGGGGGAGCCAUGGCCCCGGAGGCCCGCGAUUCAAAUCGGAAGGUGUCGGGCCCGGUCACGGGAGCAUGGUGCGCGCCACAACUCGUGCGGCGGCAGGGGGAGGACUGGGCGGCCGCGGCGCGGCCUCCGCUCGCCGAGGCGGUUUCCGCUGCUGUGCGCGGCCCCUCCCCGCCGGCCCAGCCCCCCAGGAAGCCGGGCGCGCUCGGGCCCGGAGCGCGCGGCGCCGGCGGCAAAGCGCAGCUCCCCGCCCGCGCCCUCGCCCUCGCCCUCGCCCGCCGCCGCCGCCGCCUCGCCGCGCAGGGUCCGCGGGGGUGGCCGCAGCCCCUCGGGGUCGGCGCGGCGCGAAAGGAAGCGGGGGCCGGCGCCGGCCGGGCGCAUCCCCGCGCCGCGCGGUGGUAUCGUCCAUCCCGUACGUUCAGCACUGUACCCCGAGGCACGGUGCGAACGGACGCGCCCCUCCUGCGGCGUGCCGCUGCUGCCCGCGAGCCGGGCGGACAGGAGGCGGCGGGUGGACGGGGCCCGGGGAGCAGGCCGGCACGGGUGGCCUGAAGGGGAGACCAGAUCGGGAGAGAGCAGCGGGAUCGCACGGGGCUACUGCGCCUUACAAUGCGCCACACGGUUUUUGA
rnacentral:lncRNA from 1 species